GCCGAGUAGAAGGAUAACAGCCGCUCUGUACUGACGGCCCUACUCUGCGCGCCCAGUGGCUGGCAUAGUAUCUGUAAGCCUGGUCUCCAGUUUGAAUAGUCUUUCUGCCACUUUCAAACGCGCGCACUUUAAAAACCAGGCUUUAAUUAUGUGAACAGCACAAUCGCAUACACGUUACGGUAGCAGGAGCGAGUGCGUGCUGCGUCCCCGGGUGGGGGUCCCUGCGCCCCCACUGCAGGGCCUUUUAAUUAAUGUCCCCGAAGCCGCGCUUCCUCCCGCGCCGCGGAGGCCUUCCCGGCCGCGGCCAGGGUGCGAGCGGAGGGUGACCGCCGCUCCAAGGGGACCCGGGACCACGGAGAAGACCUGCAAGAACUUCGCUCCAAGGAAAGCAGGCGCGGUGUACAAAGGCUUCCAAACCCUCUGCGCUCUGAGGCUUGCAGACCUUCGAAGGUCGAGGUCUGCAAAGCUCUGCUCCGCCCAGGCCCCUUACUGACCCCGAGGCCGCUGCCCCUGGGAAGGAGGAAGUCACACCAGGUCAAUGCAGCCUCUGUCCUCCUGGUUCCCCAUGGGAAGGAAUCUAUGUCUCGUUUCUGUCACGUUGGCUCGUUGUGUGAUAUUUUAUUGAAAAUCUGUUGCAUCAUAAAAAAACAAAAACAAACCUCAUUCUUCCGAUAGGUGAAGCUGAGGGCAUAAAACAAAUGACCUUUGUGGGUUUUGGUAAAAAUUGGCUUGGCAAUAAAGUAUUUAAUUUGACAACAGGAAAAAAGGUGAAGCAUUUCAUAAACGAAGCAAGGAUUUAAUCAUGUGCACUGUAUAUCUAUGCGCAUAUACAAGUAUUGUGUUCUGAGUGAUAAGAGCUUGAUUUGAUUCCUUAAAUAUUCGAUGGUUCAUAAAAUUAAUAAAAUAUAUUGCCACAAAUUCCA